rnacentral:misc_RNA from 1 species
GAUGAAGAACGUAGCGAAAUGCGAUAAGUAGUGUGAACUGCAGAAUUCAGUGAAUCAUCGAAUCUUUGAACGCACAUUGCGCCCCUUGGUAUUCCAUGGGGCAUGCCUGUUCGAGCGUCAUUUGUACCUUCAAGCUCUGCUUGGUGUUGGGUGUUUGUCUCGCCUCUGCGUGUAGACUCGCCUCAAAACAAUUGGCAGCCGGCGUAUUGAUUUCGGAGCGCAGUACAUCUCGCGCUUUGCACUCAUAACGACGACGUCCAAAAGUACAUUUUUACACUCUUGACCUCGGAUCAGGUAGGGAUACCCGCUGAACUUAAGCAUAUCAUAAGCGGAGGA